GGAGAUGAGGUUUUUAUGGGUGAUUUGGAAAAAGAAGUAUCAAAACUCAUAUCUGUCCCCACAGGCUUUAAGAUUGCACUUAGUUGGUUUUAUAUGAAGGCAAAAGAUGGAUAUAUUAAUCAAAGGCUUGCUCUUGAGAAUGACAUAGAUAUCAUCACAAUGUGGGAGAUACAGAAGCCAACACGAGGGAAUAUUAUUCAUGUCUAUGUAGAGUUCAAACCCAAAGACCAAAAUUCUAACAUAGUCCCACCACCACCUACAACAGCAUCAGACUUUAACCUCACCCAAGGUACACAGUCCCAAACUACUACACAGUCAAGUGGAUUCAAGUGGUCCUGAGGCAUGUAAACAACAACAUAAAAGACCAAAGUUUCCAACUAGAGGAGGAAAAGCAGGACACAUUGCUAGGUUUUAUCACCUAGAAGAAGUAGCAGACUUGCUUCACAUAGAGGGGUCCACAUUGAAACUGGUAAAGGCUUUAAACAAGGUGAGUCAAUGUAUUGUUUUUAUCAGUUUUGUACCAUGUUAUAUAACAGUGAUGCUAUAACUAUUGUUUGAUGUUGCAGGGGUGGUUGUUGACUUAUGUGAUGAAGCUAACUUCAAUGAAGUUCCUGACUUCACUGAUCUUUUGUCAAGUGGAGUAAAUCUUGACAGUAUUGUUGAAGAAGGUAAAUUAGUUUGUGUUUAUUCAAAUCUAAAUGUUGUCUGCAAUGUUUAUUUUGUAUUUGUUCAAGUGUAAAUCUUGGCAGUAAUUUUACAUUUGUUCAAGUGUAAUGUAAAAAUCAUAUUGUUUGUUCAUAUAUCAUGUACAAUAGUAGUUACAUUUGUAUAUAUUUUUUGGUUUUCAGAAAAUUUCUACCAUGAUGGUCAAGAUGAUUAUGACAGUCUAGAGGAUGAGGAUUUUAUUGUAAGUUCAGAUUAUGAAAGGUUUGUGAAUGAGAAAGUGAAGAAGUAUUCUGUGAGAACUAGAAGCAAAGGAAAUGUACCAGAUAUUGACAUUGAUAGAUGUGAUGCUGAGGAGGAAUAUGAAAGUCCAUGGUCCUAUUCAGGCAGUGAGACUGAAGAUGAUGGAGAGUUAAGAGAAGAUGAGAUCCAAUGGGCCAAAGAUUUAUGUGCAGCUGAUCCAAGAGAAUAUGCACUAAGAAGGGCGGAAGAAAGAGCAAAACAAGCUGCAGACAAAGCUAAAAAAGUUCAACAGGAAAAUCAAAAUACAAAAGGGAAAGAAAAGGUAACUACUGACCUUGAAUGGAUUCAGAAAACAUCAAGGAUAGAUGAUUAUGACAGUUGUGAAUGGCCUGAUGUGAAUAAUGAUGAGGAAGGUUUACCUAAGUUGGAUGUGGACCAGAGAUGGUAUAACAUUUAUAAGUGCAGGUCAUACCUUAAGACUUAUGCAAUUAGAAGAAAAUUUGUACUAGGUCUAGCAAAGAAUGAUAGUGAUAGAAUUCAAGCUUGUUGCAAAGGGGUUGCUGAAGAUGGAAAGCCAUGUUCUUGGUAUUGUUCAAUAGGUAGAAUGACUGACAAACACACAAUGAGAGUUGGUAUUUUAAAUAAAGAACACACAUGUGUAUCAUAUGAGGCUACCAGAAAUCCUACAGCAAAUGCACCCUGGAUUGCAGAACAGAUUGAGUCAGAUAUGAGAAUGCAUCACAGAUCUUACAAGGCAAGUAAUAUUUGUUUAUAUUUCUAUUUAAAUUUUGUUAGUAAUAUCAUGUACAGUAUUUAAGUAAUUUUUGUUUAUAUUUUGUUGUAGGGAAGGAAUAUUAUGUCUCUAAUGUGGGAAAAGUUUCAGUUGGAUAUUAAGUACUGGCAAGCUUGGCAUGCUCUUACUAUUGCUUUGGAGUUGAUACAUGGUAAUUAUGAAGAGAGUUAUAAAAAAGUUCCUGAACUCUGCAAACAGAUACUGAUGGCUAACCCAGGUAGUAUUGCCAAAUGUUCAAGAAAUGUCCAGUUUGGAAUGUUUGAGAGUAUGAUUUUAAGUUUCAAAGCUUCAAUAGAUGAAUUUCUGAAAGGGUGUAGGCCAUUGAUUGGUUUGGAUGGAUGUUUUCUCAAAGGUAAGUAUGGGGGUGCUUGUCUGUGUAUAGUUGCUUUGGAUGGGAACAAUGGCAUGUUCCCAUUGGCUAUUUUUAUUUGUGUUAGAGAAAACAUGGAGAAUUGGGGCAGAUUUUUGGAGUACAUGAGUCCUUAUUUGCUGCAGCAUAAAGAAAAGUUAACUAUAAUGUCAGACAGGCAGAAAGGGUUGGAUGCAUCUGUUGCAAAGUAUUUUCCAGAAUGUUAUCAAAGGUAUUGUUUCAGGCAUAUGACAGCUAACAUGAAGAAGUAUUACAAAGGUGUUAAUGACUUAGCAUGGCUUGCUUCCAAAGCAUAUGCAAAGACAUGGUUUGAGCACAACAUGGAUGAAAUGGGCAAGUGUGAUCCUGAGGCAGUUAACUACUUGAUGGAAGAAGAUCUCAGUAAAUGGGCAAGACAUGAAUUUUAUAAGCCUUCUAAGUUUGAGCAUACUACUAACAAUUGGUCUGAAGCUUUUAAUGCAAGAAUCUUGGAUGCAAGGGAUAAACCAAUAGUGGGAUUAGUGACAACAGUAAUGAUUUGUUAAUGAAGUUGCAGUUUGAAAGAAGAAAUAGUGCUAAGAGUUGGAAUGAAAAUGGAUUAGUUCCUAGAGUUCUGGAAAAAAUUGAAUUGAACAAAGGCAAAAUUGGAGAAUUUGAGGUUUCAGGUUCAGAUGAGAGUACCUAUAAAGUGAUGAACAUGACUAGGAGUAUGUGGUGGAAUGUGGAUCUACAAGCACACUUUUGCACUUGUGGUGAAUGGCAGCUAACAGGCAUUCCAUGUGUUCAUGCUACAAGAGUGUUGAGUCCAUUAAGACCAGAUUGGAAAAGGCUAGUGCAUAAUUAAUAUGAAUUCAUUAGUGUAAUUAGUUAUGUGCUAUGUAAUUAAUUUAAUUUAAUUUUGUAAAUGUAGGUAUUGCAGUGAAUAUUUUACUGUUGAGACAUACAAGGCAGUGUAUUCUGGUACCAUUAAGCCAAUUCUACAUGAAACUGAUUGGAACAAGGUACAUAACACUUUGAUAAUAUAUUUAAGAUAUUUAAAUUUGUUGAAAUUGAUAAUAUACUAGUUAAUUUUGUUUAUACUUGUUGCAGUCAAUUGAAAAUAUUCUACCACCAGUGAGGCCUAGAGCACCAGGUAGACCACCAGUUGCAAGAAGAAGGGGUAUAGAUGAGGGACCAGUCAGGUUCAAUUGCAAGAAGCAACUCAGGUGUUCAAUCUGCAAAGGAUAUGGACACAAUAAAGUGACUUGCCCAGGAGGUGGACCAAACUAUGAGGCAAUGAUGGCUUCCAUGGAACCUGCUAAGAAGGGGGCCACUCCUAAAGGUGGAAGACCUAGAUCAAGAGCAAGGAAGCCAAUCAUAGGGGAACCAUUGGAAGCAGCUUAUGCAGCUGCUGCUGCAGAAGAAUUGAUGGAACAACAACAACAACAACAAAUGGCAGCUCAGACAGGGAAAGGAAGAGGCAAAGGUAAAGGAAGAGGUAAAAAAUCUUCUCAACAACAACCUCAAUUUAUGCCCCAGUUCCCAACACCACCACAACAAUAUCAGUCCCAAUUUAUGCACCAGUUCCCAAGACCACCACAACAAUAUCAACAUCAGUUUAUACCCCAAAUGCCAUCAUCAUCAUCUUCAGUACCAUCCAACACCAAUGUCUUCCCACCACCAUCCAACAUCAAUGUCUUCCCACCACCAUCAUCUUCAGAAUUCUAUAUGAGACCUCCACCACCACCUUCUAGACAAGUCCUUAGACCCAGUACUUUCACCAACAAUGAGGUUGGAGAUCCAAGGGUGUUCAAUACAACACUUGCAAGUUUACUGGGAUUUAACAGAAAUCAGCAAAAUCCAAGCCAAUGGAGUAGUCAAGGUUCAACUGCAUCUCAGCCAACUCAGCAAAGUAAGACAACUAGGUGGAUGCCAAGGGGAUAGUAAUCAGCAGAUUGUACUUCAAUUAUAUUUUGGAGGAGUUGUGUUGGGUUUUUUUUUUUUUUUGAGGAGUUGUGUUGGUUUUUUUUUGCUAUCGGAGAUACCAAAAUUGAUAACAUCAUGUUAUCAGGGAAAUCUACACUAGCCAUAGUGAUAACAUGAUGUUAUCAGAUCAGAGAUACCAGAACUGAUAACAUCAUGUUAUCAGACAAAACCACAAAUGAUAACAAGCCAAAUCUUACCUCCCCAGUUAGUUUCACAUCAUGUUAUCACAGUACAAGCCCAUUGAUAACAUGAUGUUAUCACCUUCAGUUUUAUUCCAAAGUAAAAAAAAAAAAUGGGAUAACAUUAUCACUGUACAAGCCCACUGAUAACAUGAUGUUAUCAAAGUAACUUGUUCAAAUCUCAUUAGGGUUAACAACACCCAUACUUGGUAGUGUUUUAUUUGUUCCAUACGUGUCUAUAAUGUUCAAAUCACACGAGGGUUAACAACACCUAUAUGUGAUAGUGGUAUAUUAAUUUGUCCCAUACGUGUCUAUAAAAUUAGUUGGCUAACCAGUUCAAAUCUCAUUAGGGUUAACAACACACAUACGUGGUGGUGUUUUUUUACAAAUAAAAUAAAAUAUUGAUAACAUGAUGUUCUCAAACACAAGUACAAUAAUAACAUCAUGUUAUCAGGGUUUUAAUUUUUUUACAAAUAAAAACAGAAGACUGAUAACAUCAUGUUAUCAAAGACAACUACAGUGAUAACAUGAUGUUAUCAGCUUUAAGUUUUUUACAUAUAAAAUACAAACUGAUAACAUGAUGUUAUCAAACACAAUUAUAGUGAUAACAUCAUGUUAUCAGCUUUAAAAAAUAAAAGGCAAGACUGAUAACAUGAUGAAUGCACUGCAGAAAUACAUUCAUACUCAUAAGCAGAAAUACAUUAAAAAAAUAAGAAGAAUAAGCUUACUAACCCAAAAGAAAUUUAUUCAACAUCAUAAGCACAAAUACAUUCAUACUCAGACCAGUUUUAGCAUUAAAUCAAACAAAUGACAUUCAAAUUUCAGCUUUGGACAUUAGUUUCACAAGUUUACUCACAGCAACCACACUUCCUGAAGCACUCAUUUCAAUUUUUUUAUUUACACAAAUCUUCAAAGUCAGUGAAUCAUCAUCUUCCUUCUUAGUUUCUUCUUCUUCUUCUUUCUUCGUAGCAUUUUGUUGAAGUUCUUUAGCACUCAAUUCAUCCAACCACUUAAAACCCUUGCAACCAUUUUGGCCAAAACAACUCAGAAACUUUCUUCCUUUAUUGAGAUCUGUAGUGCUGGUCCCAAAUUUCAUUUUGUGUUGAUGAUUACCUUUUACACAAUUAUAAUUCUUGAAUUUGCAAUCCUUCAUCCAGUGAUCAUGUUGGCUACAAAUAAAGCACCCUCCCUGAAAGAGAAACUAAAUUAGAUGGAGAAAUGAAGUAAAUUGGAUGGAAAUUAAAGAAGAAGUUGAUUCUAAGUGACCUUUGUUGAAGAAGAAGAAGAAGAAGAAGAACCUUCCAUGGUGGCAGC
rnacentral:lncRNA from 1 species